UGCGCGGCUAACAUGCAAGUCGUACGGUAAGGCCCUUUCGGGGGUACACGAGUGGCGAACGGGUGAGUAACACGUGAGUAACCUGCCCACAACUUUGGGAUAACGCUAGGAAACUGGUGCUAAUACUGGAUAUGUGCUCCUGCUGCAUGGUGGGGGUUGGAAAGCUCCGGCGGUUGUGGAUGGACUCGCGGCCUAUCAGCUUGUUGGUGGGGUAGUGGCCUACCAAGGCGGCGACGGGUAGCCGGCCUGAGAGGGUGACCGGCCACAUUGGGACUGAGAUACGGCCCAGACUCCUACGGGAGGCAGCAGUGGGGAAUAUUGCACAAUGGGCGCAAGCCUGAUGCAGCAACGCCGCGUGCGGGAUGACGGCCUUCGGGUUGUAAACCGCUUUCAGCAGGGACGAAGCUUUUUGUGACGGUACCUGCAGAAGAAGCACCGGCUAACUACGUGCCAGCAGCCGCGGUGAUACGUAGGGUGCGAGCGUUGUCCGGAUUUAUUGGGCGUAAAGGGCUCGUAGGCGGUUGAUCGCGUCGGAAGUGGAAACUUGAUGCUUAACGUUGAGCGUGCUUUCGAUACGGGUUGACUUGAGGAAGGUAGGGGAGAAUGGAAUUCCUGGUGGAGCGGUGGAAUGCGCAGAUAUCAGGAGGAACACCAGUGGCGAAGGCGGUUCUCUGGACCUUUCCUGACGCUGAGGAGCGAAAGCGUGGGGAGCGAACAGGCUUAGAUACCCUGGUAGUCCACGCUGUAAACGGUGGGUACUAGGUGUGGGGUCCAUUCCACGGAUUCUGUGCCGUAGCUAACGCAUUAAGUACCCCGCCUGGGGAGUACGGCCGCAAGGCUAAAACUCAAAGGAAUUGACGGGGCCCCGCACAAGCGGCGGAGCAUGCGGAUUAAUUCGAUGCAACGCGAAGAACCUUACCUGGGUUUGACAUGGAUCGGGAGCUUCCAGAGAUG
rnacentral:rRNA from 1 species